GUAGUAGUCUCCUUGCAGGAAGCUUCCACUGGCCAAUUUGGGUAAUUUGAGCAUAAGAACAAACAAUUAUAGUAACAUAUUAAAACCCAUUAAGUAAAAUAGGAAUCCAUGAGUCCAUAUUGAUAUACAUAAAUACACAAUUAAAUAGAUGAAGAGAAAAAUUCUUCUUGUAGCUGCCCCUGACAUAGGAAGGGUUAAUAAUCACUGGAAAAAGCUUGCCAACAAACUGUGACCCGGAGGUGAGAAGGCCGGUUAGCCAAUGACGGGUAAGACCCCCUGGGGGGGCAACCUAAGCCAGGCGGCGGCCGCCCGGGGGCACAGAUGGAGAAACGAUAUCGAUAUCGGGCGCAAGAGGGACCGUUGCCUAAGAGACUUUGCCUGCUCUGAGAUAAAAAUAUAGGAGCACAGCAACAACAUGAUAAUAUCAAAACAGAGGCCAAGGGAGGGCUCCUUGAGAAAUCACUAAGAAUUCUUGGCAUUCGCUAAUUACUUCAUCCAGAACACCUGUGUAUGUUUAACAGAUGUAAGCUAUGUAUAUAUUGAAACGCUGGUUAUAAUAAACUCAGAGUGGCCAUCAGCCCUCUCCGCAUCUAUCCUGAUGUGUACAUUGGAUUGCGACACCGACAUAUGGUGACCCCGACGUGAUCCAAGAUCGGCGGCAUUAUUGAUAAAGGCAUUGAGUGCAUUCCAUCAAAACGCACACGGCCUGCUCUGGAAUAACCGAAAAAUGGACAAACGGAUAAGAGGAACCGGGGUACCCCGACAACAACAUACAGGCCUGCACCAAAAGGAAGAAGAACCUCUGGUGAGGUAUGCUAACAAUUCACCUUUUUGUAUGGUUUAUUAAAACAAAAGCACAACAUGUGUCGCCUUUCAGGAACAAAUGUAUUUUAUUACCAACCUAAGAAAGGACAACAGGCAGCCAAUGUGACAUACAUUACUGCUAUAUCAACAUCUUACGAAGACAAAAGUAAUGUCAUACAAGUUCCUUCCAUCCCAAUUUGCCAUCCAAAAACUGAUUGGUGUUACAAACAUUACUCAGUACAGUGGUCCCCUUGCCAUACAGCGUAUCCAAGGCAGGGCAACCUCUUUGGGGCCAACGUACUGAAUUAGGGACCUCAUGGACAUCUUUUGAGUGACAGUCAUACUUGGGCCUUCAACAGAUCAAGUCAGAAACCUAUAACAUGGAGCGAACACGGCCUAUCUGGACCCCUUUUACAACUAUCUCACAAUGAGACAGUGUGCAGCCCCCUCACAAAGGAAUAUGGAGGAUCGGGUUGCCUUUUAUAUCAGGACAAUUGUCCCAUGGCAAGUAUGGGAAUGAAACUGGCAAUUAUUUACUAACAUUGGUCAAAAAUGUUUCUCAUACCCUUAUGAUUUGUACCACCCAUCCUUAUGUGUUAUUAUGGGGAAACAGUGUCCCUGCUAUCCAAGAAUCUUCUGGUAUGUAUGUGGUUAAUAUUUCUCCCCCAUAUUGGCAUUCUGAUUGUUUAACACAUUAUAAUGUAACCUCAUUGAAUGUGACCUAUGUAAUGGUGUUAAAAAGAAGAGCACAUAUUUGGUUACCUGUUUCUCUAAAUCGGACAUGGUCCGAAGAGCAUGAUCUACAUAUCCUCCUUGAGUCCAUGAGAAAAUUAUGCCCUAAGCAGUUUUGGCUACGCUAAUCGGGUUCAUUGUGUCCGCGGUGAUUAUCAUUGCAUCAGCUGCUACAGCUACUACUGCCUUGGUUAACAGUGUUCAAACAGCCCAUAAGGUGGAGUCCGUCUUGGUAAAUAUCACUCAAGAAUUACAGACACAGGUGGAUAUUGAUAAAGGGCUAAUGUCAGGAUUGUAGGCAUUAGAGGCAGCAGUAGAGUGGCUGGGAGAGCAGCAAAAUGCAUUAUAUAUGCAUAUGAAACUAAAAUGUGACUGGCAAUUUACCAUGCAAUGCGUUACCCCCCUACUGUAUAAUAGCUCGCUGACAUCUUGGCAAGAAAUAAAAAAACAUUUACAGGGGGCAUUUAAUACCUCCCUGGCCAAUGACAUCACUGGGCUACAAGCUCGGUUAGAGAGGCAGUUACAAGAAGUACAUAAGGUGUUCUCUCAAAAAAUACUUUAAGACAUUGAAAAUGGGUUACACUGGCUAGAGCCCUCCAAUUGGUUCUCAGGCCUCAAUUUACGCAUAUUUGUUAAUGCUGGUGUGAUUUUGAUAUUAUCUAUGUUAAUAGUUUAUGUUUUACAUCUGCUGUGCUCCCUGAAAAAACAAAGUCAACAAGAGCAAGCAUUGGUUAUGAUGGGCCUUCUGGCCUCAGCACAACAUGAUGCCUUCCUUGCUUUAAAAAACAAAAGGCGGGGAAAUGUAGCUGCCCCUGACAUAGGAAGGGUUAAUAAUCACUGGAAAAAGCUUGCCAACAAACUGUGACCCGGAGGUGAGAAGGCCGGUUAGCCAAUGACGGGUAAGACCCCCUGGGGGGGCAACCUAAGCCAGGCGGCGGCCGCCCGGGGGCACAGAUGGAGAAACGAUAUCGAUAUCGGGCGCAAGAGGGACCGUUGCCUAAGAGACUUUGCCUGCUCUGAGAUAAAAAUAUAGGAGCACAGCAACAACAUGAUAAUACCAAAACAGAGGCCAAGGGAGGGCUCCUUGAGAAAUCACUAAGAAUUCUUGGCAUUCGCUAAUUACUUCAUCCAGAACACCUGUGUAUGUUUAACAGAUGUAAGCUAUGUAUAUAUUGAAACGCUGGUUAUAAUAAACUCAGAGUGGCCAUCAGCCCUCUCCGCAUCUAUCCUGAUGUGUACAUUGGAUUGCGACACCGACA
rnacentral:lncRNA from 1 species